GACGAACGCUGGCGGCGUGCUUAACACAUGCAAGUCGAACGGACCUUCGGGUUAGUGGCGAACGGGUGAGUAACACGUGGGUGAUCUGCCCUGCACUUUGGGAUAAGCCUGGGAAACUGGGUCUAAUACCGGAUAGGACCACGCAUUUUAUGGUGUGUGGUGGAAAGCUUUUGCGGUGUGGGAUGGGCCCGCGGCCUAUCAGCUUGUUGGUGGGGUAAUGGCCUACCAAGGCGACGACGGGUAGCCGGCCUGAGAGGGUGACCGGCCACACUGGGACUGAGAUACGGCCCAGACUCCUACGGGAGGCAGCAGUGGGGAAUAUUGCACAAUGGGCGCAAGCCUGAUGCAGCGACGCCGCGUGAGGGAUGACGGCCUUCGGGUUGUAAACCUCUUUCGCCAGGGACGAAGCGCAAGUGACGGUACCUGGAGAAGAAGGACCGGCCAACUACGUGCCAGCAGCCGCAGUAAUAC
rnacentral:rRNA from 1 species